AAUGAACGCUGGCGGCAGGCCUAACACAUGCAAGUCGAGCGAGGUAGCAAUACCUAGCGGCGGACGGGUGAGUAACGCGUGGGAACGUACCCUUUGCUUCGGAAUAGCCCUUGGAAACGAGGAGUAAUACCGAAUGUGCCCUACGGGGGAAAGAUUUAUCGGCAAAGGAUCGGCCCGCGUUGGAUUAGGUAGUUGGUGGGGUAAUGGCCUACCAAGCCGACGAUCCAUAGCUGGUUUGAGAGGAUGAUCAGCCACACUGGGACUGAGACACGGCCCAGACUCCUACGGGAGGCAGCAGUGGGGAAUCUUAGACAAUGGGCGCAAGCCUGAUCUAGCCAUGCCGCGUGAUCGAUGAAGGCCUUAGGGUUGUAAAGAUCUUUCGUGG
rnacentral:rRNA from 1 species